rnacentral:rRNA from 1 species
UACGUAGGGCGCAAGCGUUAUCCGGAAUUAUUGGGCGUAAAAGAGCUCGUAGGCGGUUUGUCGCGUCUGCCGUGAAAAGUCCGGGGCUCAACUCCGGAUCUGCGGUGGGUACGGGCAGACUAGAGUACUGCAGGGGAGACUGGAAUUCCUGGUGUAGCGGUGGAAUGCGCAGAUAUCAGGAGGAACACCGGUGGCGAAGGCGGGUCUCUGGGGCAGUAACUACGUGGAGGAGCGAAAAGCGUGGGGGAGCGAACAGG